AUUGAACGCUGGCGGCAGGCCUAACACAUGCAAGUCGAGCGGAUGAGAGGAGCUUGCUCCUUGAUUUAGCGGCGGACGGGUGAGUAAUGCCUAGGAAUCUGCCUGGUAGUGGGGGAUAACGUUCCGAAAGGAACGCUAAUACCGCAUACGUCCUACGGGAGAAAGCAGGGGACCUUCGGGCCUUGCGCUAUCAGAUGAGCCUAGGUCGGAUUAGCUAGUUGGUGAGGUAAUGGCUCACCAAGGCGACGAUCCGUAACUGGUCUGAGAGGAUGAUCAGUCACACUGGAACUGAGACACGGUCCAGACUCCUACGGGAGGCAGCAGUGGGGAAUAUUGGACAAUGGGCGAAAGCCUGAUCCAGCCAUGCCGCGUGUGUGAAGAAGGUCUUCGGAUUGUAAAGCACUUUAAGUUGGGAGGAAGGGCAGUAAGCUAAUACCUUGCUGUUUUGACGUUACCGACAGAAUAAGCACCGGCUAACUUCGUGCCAGCAGCCGCAGUAAAAC
rnacentral:rRNA from 1 species